rnacentral:rRNA from 1 species
ACUUCACAACACGAGCUGACGACAGCCAUGCAGCACCUGUCUCAGAGUUCCCGAAGGCACCAAUCCAUCUCUGGAAAGUUCUCUGGAUGUCAAGACCUGGUAAGGUUCUUCGCGUUGCAUCGAAUUAAACCACAUGCUCCACCGCUUGUGCGGGCCCCCGUCAAUUCAUUUGAGUUUUAACCUUGCGGCCGUACUCCCCAGGCGGUCUGCUUAUCGCGUUAGCUGCGCCACCGAAACCUCAAGGAUCCCAACGGCUAGCAGACAUCGUUUACAGCGUGGACUACCUGGGUAUCUAAUCCUGUUUGCUCCCCACGCUUUCGCACCUCAGCGUCAGUAUCGAGCCAGGGGGCCGCCUUCGCCACCGGUGUUCCUCCAGAUCUCUACGCAUUUNACCGCUACACCUGGAAUUCCACCCCCCUCUCUCGUACUCCAGCUCAGCAGUAUCGAAUGCCGUNCCCAGGUUGAGCCCGGGGCUUUCACAUNCGACUUACCAAGCCGGCUACGCGCGCUUUACGCCCAUUAUUCCGAUUAACGCUUCGCACCUUCCGGAUUACCCGGGGNUGCUGGNACGGAAUUANGCGGGGCUUNUUGUGUGGGNAGNGGNNACCCCCCAGGGUNUUAGGCCNGGAGGNUUUCUUCCCANUGGAAGGGCUUUGCAANNGAGGGGNCUGGGGUNCNCCCNCGGGUGGNGUGGNUNANGNUUUNGCCNUUNGNGCANUAU